GAAGACGUUUCUGACACAAAACCCCAGGGGAAUCCACGGAGGAGCUGGGCUGUCAUUACUUAUUAACGGUGGGCCUGAUCCCCAGCCAGGCUGGCCCAGGGAAAUAGCCUGUAGGGAGGCCGGCCUCGCUGCUACCAGGUGGAUUAACACUUUCAGGGCGGGAGGGAGCUGUUUGGGGGGGGGUCAAUUGUCACAUUGUUGCAUGUAAGAGAGGCCAUUCUUUACACAUUAGACACAGGCGCCUUCUUCCUCGGCGUUCCCUCCCCCUCGGCGUCUGCAUUCUUCUCUUCCCUUCUCCUCCUGCCCGCUCUGGUUUUAAGCCAGCAAACCCACAGGAUGUGGGAGACUGCGCUCGCUCACGGGGAAGAGGAAGAUCUGAGAAAGCACACGGCCCGGAACCUGGGGAUGAUGUCUUCGGAGAGGGCCCGAGGAGGCGGGGAGAGGGAGAGGCAGCGGAGCCGCAGCGGGAGCCGGUACAUCCCGGUUGCAGACCGGGAAAGGUUGGAUUCACAAACUGGAGCCUGUUGUCUUGGGGUUGGGGGAAGUUAAAAAAAAAACCUCAGCUCUCCGAAGUGUCCGCAGCAAGGAGGCCUCUGGUGCUGAUUUGGAGCCGCAGUGCAUGGGCACCUCGAACUGCACCGCUACGUGUCCCCACGUUUCCAGCUCAGAGGAAGCUUGGUUAG
rnacentral:lncRNA from 9 species